rnacentral:piRNA from 1 species
UGCCAGGGCCAUGAAGACUUGCAGAG